rnacentral:rRNA from 1 species
UACGUAGGGUGCGAGCGUUGUCCGGAAUUAUUGGGCGUAAAGAGCUCGUAGGCGGCUUGUCGCGUCGGAUGUGAAAGCCCGGGGCUUAACUCCGGGUCUGCAUUCGAUACGGGCAGGCUAGGGUUCGGUAGGGGAGAUCGGAAUUCCUGGUGUAGCGGUGAAAUGCGCAGAUAUCAGGAGGAACACCAAUAGCGAAGGCAGCUCGCUGGGACGUUACUGACACUGAGGCGCGAAAGCGUGGGGAGCGAACAGG